UACGGGGGGGGCAAGCGUUGUUCGGAAUUACUGGGCGUAAAGGGCGCGUAGGCGGCGUAACAAGUCACUUGUGAAAUCUCCGGGCUUAACCCGGAGCGGCCAAGUGAUACUGUUGUGCUAGAGUGCGGAAGGGGCUACUGGAAUUCUCGGUGUAGCGGUGAAAUGCGUAGAUAUCUGGAGGAACACCGGUGGCGAAGGCGGCAUCCUGGACCAAUAUUGACGCUGAGGAGCGAAAGCCAGGGGAGCAAACGGG
rnacentral:rRNA from 1 species